AUUGAACGCUGGCGGAAUGCUUUACACAUGCAAGUCGAGCGGCAGCACGGGGGCAACCCUGGUGGCGAGCGGCGAACGGGUGAGUAAUACAUCGGAACAUGCCCAGUCGUGGGGGAUAACACUUCGAAAGAAGUGCUAAUACCGCAUACGUCCUGAGGGAGAAAGCGGGGGAUCGCAAGACCUCGCGCGAUUGGAGUGGCCGAUGUCAGAUUAGCUAGUUGGUGGGGUAAAGGCCUAACAAGGCAACGAUCUGUAGCUGGUCUGAGAGGAUGAUCAGCCACACUGGGACUGAGACACGGCCCAGACUCCUACGGGAGGCAGCAGUGGGGAAUUUUGGACAAUGGGGGCAGCCCUGAUCCAGCCAUUCCGCGUGAGUGAAGAAGGCCUUCGGGUUGUAAAGCUCUUUCGGCAGGAACGAAACGGUGAGCUCUAACAUAGCUUGCUAAUGACGGUACCUGAAGAAGAAGCACCGGCUAACUACGUGCCAGCAGCCGCGGUAACAC
rnacentral:rRNA from 1 species